rnacentral:tRNA from 1 species
UGGGAUGUAGCUCAGUGAUAAAGUGCUUGCCUAGCAUGCAGGAGGCCCUGGAUUCAAUCCCCAGCACUGCAG